rnacentral:pre_miRNA from 1 species
CGGGGGGGGGGGUGGUCCCUCGGUCCGGAUUGUGAGAGGGCACAGGCCAGGUUGAGGGAGCCCAACGCUGCACG